CGGGAAACCCUGUCUCUACUAAAAAUACAAAAAUUAGCCAGGCGUGGUGGCAGUCACAUGCAGUCCCAGCUACUUGGGAGACUGAGGCAGGAGAAUGGCUUGAACCCGAGAAGUGGAGGUUGCAGUGAGCCAAGAUAGCACCACUGCACUCCAGCCUGGGUGACAGAGCGGGACUCCAUCUCAAAAAAAAAAAAAAAAAUCUGGGAAGUGUUACUUCCUCUUCCAUUUGGGGGAAGUGUUGUGUAGAACUGGUGUGAUUUUUUCCUGACUUCUUGUUUUUCAGAAUUCACAAGUAAAAACCUGUGUCUCUGUGGUUUCCCUUUGGAGAAGGUUUACAAUUUAUUUCUUUAAUAGAUAAUCAAGCUCUCCAGAACUUAUGUUUAUUCUUCAGCCAUGUCUUACAUUGUUAGACAUUUAUACAAUUUAUUAAUACUGUCACAGAAAUUUUUCUAUUGUUGUUUUAUUGUAUUUUUUCUAUUAGUUUUUUUACACCAUCAACUUAUAGCUCAUAUUUUAUCAUUGAUUUUUUUCACUCCUUUAAGUUGCUUUUCUAUCUGCUUAUGUUCAAAAGUCAGAUUACCAAUCUUAAAUUUUCUUCUUUUCUAAUAUAAGCAAUUAAAGCUAUAAGAUUUCCUCCAAGCCCGAUUUAUCUGCAUCCCCAAAAUGUUACAUAUGCUCAAGAGAUUAAAAGAAAAGACAUCGGAAUAAUUAGAGAAACCAUGGCCUUGAGGAGGACGUGCAUGGAGAGGUUCCACAAAGGAAAGCAAACAGCAAAAAACGAUCGACUGGACUCUUAGAUUCUAGCGCCCUGAUCCCACCUGGACCUCAGCUUGACCGCCGCCCUUGGCAACUCCUGGGGAGGAGACAGCACCUCCUGUGCUCCCCUCGGCUCCACCCUUCGGAGGCAGCGACAUCCACACAAGUGGAGAAAUGGCUCCUUGGGAACCACUUGGCACUGGCAGGAAAUUGCAUGUUUAGAAUAAAUGCUAUAUAUUAAAGUUACUUAGAAAGUUGUCAGGAGAACGGAGGCCUGAGAGGGGGGUGUUCUGGGGCAGGUGUGCUGUCGCUGGGGCUUGCUAUUUCUUUGUUCCUUGUUUGCCUUUGAGCCCAUGUGAAAUUCCCGGCGGGGGAAGAGAGGCUGAGCUCCCCGCCUGCCCCUGCCUCAGCACUGGCCCUGGGCUGGCCUCCUCCAGGUCCCAUCCCCAGCCUGCAGCCUACACACUCUGUCUGGGUCCCUCUUCACAAAGCAACCCUGGAAAGGCGGGCACUAGGGAACUCAGCCUCCCAACGGCCCCAGGGGCGUGAAGCUGCCUCCAUGUGCCUUUAACGUCCAUGUCCCAGCCUGACAGACACAGAUGCGUACUCCCAUUUGUUCUCUAGGUCAUAACUAUAAUCACCACUGCUUUGCUAAUUAAUGCAAAUUGCAAGCGUUCCUAUUGGAAACAAGCGUUCUGGCUUUUUUCAGUGGCCAUCCAUCUUCCAGGUUUGCCUCUGUGACCUCCCAGGGCUGCGGACAAUUCUCCCAGGGGGUAGCAGCCAUCCAUCCGCCCUCUCCCUGCCCGGGAGCUGAGGCAGCGACCAUCCAUCUGCCCUCUCCCUGCCGGGGAGAGGGAGUUGGGGCAGCGGCUGUCCAUCCACCCUCUCCCUGUCUGGGAAGGUCACCAGUACUGCCCCAUCAUGAGAAAUGCCGGGGAGCUGAGGCAGUGGCCAUCCAUCCGCCCUCUCCCUGCCGGGAAGCUGAGGCAGUGGCUGUCCAUCCACCCUCUCCCUGCUGGGGAAGGUCACCAGUACUACUCCAUCAUGAGAAAUGCCAGGGAGCUGAGGCAGCAGCUGUCCAUCCACCCUCUCCCUGCUGGGGAAGGUCACCAGUACUGCCCCACCAUGAGAAAUGCCGGGGAGCUGAGGCAGCGGCCGUCCAUCCGCCCUCUCCCUGCCGGGAAGCAGAGGCAGUGGCUGUCCAUCCGCCCUCUCCCUGCUGGGGAAGGUCACCAGUACUGCCCCAUCAUGAGAAAUGCCGGGGAGUUGAGAGGGUGAAAGCCAAUGGGAUGGACUUGGGUGGCCUCUCCACAGGUGUCCCGCACCUGGGGUCUUGGAUCUAAGCGGGGGCACCAGGCCUUCCUCAGUUUCUGUGGAUUGGCGCUGCACACAGGGGCUGACAUCUCCAAGGGCUCAGGGCCAGUAGAGGGUGGUGGUUGGUCAGCCACCGUGGGGGAGGACGGAAGACGAAGGCUGGACGAGAAUCGUUUUGCAGCUCAGCAUCAGGGAAGAGCUGGCUCCUGCUCGCCCAACCCCCUGCUAGCCUCCUGGCCGUGGGUACGUCCUCAGUCCUCAGCACCGGCCAGGAGUGAGCCGGCGGCACUGCUGGAGGGCUCAGGGCACAGCUGAGUCCGUGUCAUUCUCAUCCUCAGAGGUCCUCAGAUGAGCCGUUCUCCACGUCUGUGACCAUCCUCACGGGGCAGAUGAGGAAGCUGAGACGCAGACCCCAGGACGGAUGAGAAAGAAUCCAGUUCUUGGCUUUGUGGCUGGCGCACUGGUGUCCUCCAGGCACUUCAGGAAGCCGGAGAACAAAUCACAAAUCCACCUCCCACCUGGAUCUGUCCCGGCAACCCUGGUCCUCAGACAGGCUGAGGCGGGCAGAGCUCGCCCGAGGCAGCCUCAGGAAGAGGGAAACUGGGCACAUCCUCCCCAGCCCCGCUCUCUAGGGCAGUGUGGCCGCCAGGUGGCACAACCGGCUGAAGCUGUCCUCGUCACAGGAGCUUGGAGCCCCAUCCCACAGCCUCCUCACACGUCCCCCAUGGGAGCUGCUCCUGUCCUAAUAACCUGCACCAAUAACCAAGCGAGAACAAGGAGAAGUGACACCUGCAGAGUGUGCUGAGGGCAUCGCACUGGGAUGGUCGUCGCCCUUCCGUGAAGUCCCAUGGAGGUUCCCAUGAGGCGAGCCUGGCGGGUUUGGGAUGGUCCCAGAGUGGAAGGGCUUCUGUGUUUGGGUUUUGUUGGGCUUUGACUGAUGACUACAAUUCACUCGUUAAAGGCUGAAUCUAGAGAAGGGAUUCCGGCAAAGCCCACGUGCGUUUGGCAGGGCAGCGGGUGGGUCAGUGAAGCCCAGAGGGGCAAUGGGUCAGAGGCCUCCACAGCUCUGUGAUGUGCUUUUAUUUCAGCAACUGUGUUUUUGUUCCCAUGAUCUUUCAUUGGCUUUUUUCAAAGUUACUUGUUCUUGUUUCGUGGAUGGAGUGCAAUUAUAGUGACCACAUUUCAGGCACUAUUCUAAGUGCUGUGCAGAUAACUAUCAACUCACUCGACCCUCAGGAAACCAUGCAUUAGAAUCCAUUACCAGAACUUGGCUGGGCACAGUGGCUCAUGCCUGUAAUCCCAGCAGUUUGGGAGGCCGAGGCAGGCAGAUCACCUGAGGUCAGGAGUUUGAGACCAGCCUGGCCAACAUGCCAAAACCCCAUUUCAACCAGAAAUACAAAAAAUUAGCCAGGCGUGGUGGCGGUCGCCUGUAAUCCCAGCUACUUGAGAAGCCGAGGCAGGAGAAUCGCUUGAACCCGGGAGGCAGAAGUUGCAGUGAGCUGAUAUCGCGCCAUUGCACUCCAGCUAGGGCAACAAGUGAAACUCCAUCUCAAAAAAAAAAAAAAAAAAAGAAUCCAUUACCAGAACUUUAGACUCAAGGAAACAGACACAGGCGAGUGAACUGGAUUUUCUGAGUCAGGAGAGGCCUUUCCUCCUCGUUCUGGGGGCACCGAUUACAAUUCCCUUAAGAUGCUUCAGCAGAAAUGUCCCGCCUUAAACAGAGGUGCCCAGGGGUAUAAAUUCCCUUUUUAAUUUGAUGUGUGCAAUUUAUCAUCGCAGGAUUUCUCACAAAACCCUCGGUCUGUCAAGAACCCCCUUCUUUGCUGUAAGCACAGUCAUGUAUACGCACCUUACAGGCUUCCGAGAGCUGCCUGUCAUGUCAGGAAUACAGACAUGGGAGGGAAAGCCUGCAGCGCCCACAUGGACUCAAGUCAGGUGACAUCAAUUCCUUUAGCGGAGUGUCUGCAGGAAUUGGCCCCACUG
rnacentral:lncRNA from 1 species